UACGAAGGGGGCUAGCGUUGUUCGGAAUCACUGGGCGUAAAGGGCGCGUAGGCGGAUCUUUAAGUCGGGGGUGAAAGCCCAGGGCUCAACCCUGGAAUUGCCUUCGAUACUGAAGAUCUUGAGACCGGAAGAGGUUAGUGGAACUGCGAGUGUAGAGGUGAAAUUCGUAGAUAUUCGCAAGAACACCAGUGGCGAAGGCGGCUAACUGGUCCGGUUCUGACGCUGAGGCGCGAAAGCGUGGGGAGCAAACAGG
rnacentral:rRNA from 1 species